UGAGUUUAAGUCUAUUUUGGCUACAUAAGGAGUGCAAGACCAGCACUGGAAAGAGAUCUUUUAUCAACAAAGUUCCUCGUAUCACCUAAACUUAAAUGAGGCCCCUUUCCCAGGAGGCCCUUGAUUGACAUGAAAGUGAAAGAAAAGAGGAGACCAGAAGAGACUGUGAAGCCAAUGUGACGCAGAAGCUUUAGCCUGCUAGGCUUCACCUCCUUGCCUGGGAGAUCCAGGAAAGAGGCUGGUAUCCCCUCCAAAGACAGGCUAUCAGAACGAGUGAUCAAGAACAUCUGCUUAGGGCUGUUGUCAGCAUAUUAAAAGAUUCAACAAGU